GAUGAACGCUGGCGGCGUGCCUAAUACAUGCAAGUCGAGCGAACAGAUGAGGAGCUUGCUCGUCUGACGUUAGGGGCAGACGGGUGUGAAACGCGUGUAUAACCUACCUAUCAGACUGAGAACAUUUCGGGAAACCGGAGCUUAUACCAUAUAAUCUAUUGAACCGCAGGGGUCAAUAGUAAAAGUCGGUUUUGCGGUCACGUAUAGCUGGAUCCGGGCCGUAUUAGCUGGUUGGUAAGGUAACGGCUUACCAAGGCAACGAUGCGUAGCCGACGUGUUAGGGUGGUAGGCCGCACUGGAGCGGAGCCACGGUCCUGACGCCUACGGGAGGCAGCAGUAGGGAAUCGUCCGCAAUGGUCGAAAGCAUGACGGAGCGACGCCGCGUGUGUGAUGAAGGUCUUCGGAUCGUAAAACUGUGUUAUUAGGUAAGAACAAAUGUGUAAGUAACUAUGCACGUCUUGACGGUACCUAAUCAGAAAGCCACGGCUAACUACGUG
rnacentral:rRNA from 1 species